UACGAAGGGGGCUAGCGUUGCUCGGAAUCACUGGGUUUAAAGGGUGCGUAGGUGGGCAGUUAAGUCAGUGGUGAAAUCUCCGGGCUCAACCCGGAAACUGCCAUUGAUACUAUUAGUCUUGAAUUUUGUUGAGGUAGGCGGAAUAAGUCAUGUAGCGGUGAAAUGCUUAGAUAUGACUUAGAACACCAAUUGCGAAGGCAGCUUGCUAAACAAAUAUUGACGCUGAGGCACGAAAGCGUGGGGAUCAAACAGG
rnacentral:rRNA from 1 species